GGUAUACAUCUUAUUUCUAUAGUGAGUCUACUGUAGCCAAUUACACCUCAAGACUCCAUAUGGCUAGGAGAUCAACUUAUGAUGUAAUUAAACUAUAGCAAUCUCACUGUGAACAAUCGAGGUAUUGUUGGUCAAAGAACUAGUCACACUGUCGUAGCAUCGAGUUAGUCACUGAUGAGAAGGUAGAUAUCCUAGUGAUUACUCGUGUUUGAUCACGCUCAGUAUCCUUGAUCCUAACAUAUACUUGUACUCU
rnacentral:lncRNA from 1 species